rnacentral:lncRNA from 1 species
GGAAGCUUCCAGCCCGGGAGAAAGAAGGAAGCCACAAAACCCAGCAUCAAGUUUCUCCCACCUUAUUCUGCCUGUUUUGUUCUAGCCGUGCUGGCAGCAACUGCAUGGUGCCCAGGCACAUUGAGGGGAAGUCAGAAAUGCCUUGUAGACCUCUCCUAUCGUGUCCGGAAUUGGUGGGUUCUUGGUGUCACUGACUUCAAGAAGGAAUCCGCAGACCCUCGCGGUGAGUGUUACAGUUCUUAAAGGCGGCGUGUCCGAAGUUUGUUCGUUCUGAUGUUCGGAUGUGUUCGGAGUUUAUUCCUUCUGGUGGGUUCGUGGUCUCGCUGGCUCAGGAGAAAAGCUGUGGACCUUCCCGCUCAUUGGCUAAAACAACAUUGAUACAUUUUUUGCGCAAAGAUGGAGGCCUCCCUUUGUCCUCACCAAAGCCAGUAGGAAUGUAAACUACAUGAGAGCAGAAACCUUGCUUGUCUCCAUCACAGUGCCUGGAACAGUGCCUGGGAAGUGGUGGUGGGUGCAGCACAAUCAAUAUUUGGGGAAUGAAUUGUUAUCGUUCAGCCCAGCAUGGUCAGUGGUUGUCAAAGGCGACAAUGCAUCGGUAUUGUCUGAAGAAAUUUUCAAAUACCUGCUCCUUUCUAGGAUCCAGACACAGGAUAAG